rnacentral:rRNA from 1 species
AUUGAACGCUGGCGGCAGGCCUAACACAUGCAAGUCGAACGAGUGGCGGACGGGUGAGCAAUGUCUGGGAAACUGCCUGAUGGAGGGGGAUAGGUAAUGGAAACGGUAGCUACUAACGCCUUCCUUCAGAUGUGCCCAGCUGGGAUUAGCUUGUUGGUGGGGUAACGGCUCACCAAGGCGACGAUCCGUAGCUGGUCUGAGAGGAUGAUCAGCCACACUGGAACUGAGACACGGUCCAGACUCCUACGGGAGGCAGCAGUGGGGAAUAUUGGACAAUGGGCGCAAGCCUGAUGCAGCCAUGCCGCGUGUAUGAAGAAGGCCUUCGGGUUGUAAAGUACUUUCAGCGGGGAGGCGUUACCCGCAGAAGAAGCACCGGCUAACUCCGUGCCAGCAGCCGCGGUAAUUC